rnacentral:rRNA from 1 species
GACGAACGCUGGCGGCGUGCUUAACACAUGCAAGUCGAACGGAAAGGCCCUGCUUUUGUGGGGUGCUCGAGUGGCGAACGGGUGAGUAACACGUGAGUAACCUGCCCUUGACUUUGGGAUAACUUCAGGAAACUGGGGCUAAUACCGGAUAGGAGCUCCUGCUGCAUGGUGGGGGUUGGAAAGUUUCGGCGGUUGGGGAUGGACUCGCGGCUUAUCAGCUUGUUGGUGGGGUAGUGGCUUACCAAGGCUUUGACGGGUAGCCGGCCUGGGAGGGUGACCGGCCACAUUGGGACUGGGAUACGGCCCAGACUCCUACGGGAGGCAGAAGUGGGGAAUAUUGCACAAUGGGCGGAAGCCUGAUGCAGCAACGCCGCGUGCGGGAUGACGGCCUUCGGGUUGUAAACCGCUUUCGCCUGUGACGAAGCGUGAGUGACGGUAAUGGGUAAAGAAGCACCGGCUAACUACGUG